rnacentral:rRNA from 1 species
CUCCGUAGGUGAGCCUGCGGAGGGAUCAUUACACAAAUAUGAAGGCGGGCUGGAACCUCUCGGGGUUACAGCCUUGCUGAAUUAUUCACCCUUGUCUUUUGCGUACUUCUUGUUUCCUUGGUGGGUUCGCCCACCACUAGGACAAACAUAAACCUUUUGUAAUUGCAAUCAGCGUCAGUAACAAAUUAAUAAUUACAACUUUCAACAACGGAUCUCUUGGUUCUGGCAUCGAUGAAGAACGCAGCGAAAUGCGAUAAGUAGUGUGAAUUGCAGAAUUCAGUGAAUCAUCGAAUCUUUGAACGCACAUUGCGCCCUUUGGUAUUCCAAAGGGCAUGCCUGUUCGAGCGUCAUUUGUACCCUCAAGCUUUGCUUGGUGUUGGGCGUCUUGUCUCUAGCUUUGCUGGAGACUCGCCUUAAAGUAAUUGGCAGCCGGCCUACUGGUUUCGGAGCGCAGCACAAGUCGCACUCUCUAUCAGCAAAGGUCUAGCAUCCAUUAAGCCUUUUUUUCAACUUUUGACCUCGGAUCAGGUAGGGAUACCCGCUGAACUUAAGCAUAUCA